rnacentral:lncRNA from 1 species
CUUUUUCAAAAUGUGGCGGUGGCAGGGAAGGUUGUCUGCUCCAGAGGCUUCCCUAGAGUGAAGAGCUCUACUAUGUAUGCUUUAUGCGGCAGAAGGAGUGCUUUGGAGGAGUUUUUAAAUUUGUUUUUUUUUUAAAUCUUAUCGGUUUUAAUUGUAGCAAUGAUUCAAGAAACGUUAGUAGGUGCCCAUAACUUCGGUGGUGGAGAUCCAAAAGUGAACAAGACAGUGUUCUGGCUGCUAAAUUCUUCUUAACUGGUUAUGCCUGGAGACCUUCACUUGGUUCUGUGCCAGCACUGCCCAUGAACUUCAUAGACUGUGAUCUUUGCUAAGGCCUAAAUGAAUGAAGUGCAGGUGCAGGACCGGAAGCAGAAGACAGAAAGUGGAGACCAGAUGUUUGAAGCUGGGUAAAGGCAGGGAUGGAGCAGGAACCGAGGAACAAACCUUGGAACUAGGUAAGUUUCCUGAGGCCUUCCCAGAAGUAGAAGCCUGCACAGUCCACAGAACUUUGCACUUGCCCAAAGGAAGUUCUCGUUUGAUUGACUCUGUCUGCUGCUCCAUAGCGACUUUCCAGCUCUCAGGCCUGAUCCAAGGAGCCACAGAGCAUGCCCAUCAAGAGCUAUGUGGGACCAUGGGGGCGGGCCUGGGUUUUAUGUGAAGUAAUGGCUUUUCAAGCCUGGCAUGACAGUUCGCAGUCCAGCAUGGCAACCAGCAGCCCAGCAUGAAGGAGGCAGACAGUUGAACAGAUUAUUUUUAUGGCUUACUUAAAGAAAUAGUUUUGAUGUCAAAUCCAUUUUGGUUUCAAAUGGGAAAAUCAGAGUUAACCUCUCUAUACUAUUCAGAAAAAAUCAGCUGAAAAGUGCAGAAACCAAAUUGGUUUACCAACUGGUGGUCAUCAUGCCGAGAGCAUUAUAACCAAUGCUCUCCUCUUUGCAGUCCCUUCACCCCAGUUGACUAAUUGUUUAGAUCCAAUUAACUUUCAUUUGUUGUAUGUUGCAUAAACUGGACUUUACAACUAGGUAUAAGAAGAACAAGGAGGGAAGAAGAGUAUCUUCUUUGUAUUAAAUUAUGUCUCGUUUUUCACAAGAUAGUUCAUAUCUCCCUUUAAAUGUCAUAUAUGAUAUAUGCCUCUUUAAAUGUUGUGAUUGCUUGAAAUUGUGAAAAAAAUUAAAAUUUUUAUUGAAAUGCUAA